AUUGAACGCUGGCGGCAUGCUUUACACAUGCAAGUCGAACGGUAACAGGCCGCAAGGUGCUGACGAGUGGCGAACGGGUGAGUAAUGCAUCGGAACGUGCCCAGUCGUGGGGGAUAACGCAGCGAAAGCUGUGCUAAUACCGCAUACGAUCUAUGGAUGAAAGCGGGGGACCGUAAGGCCUCGCGCGAUUGGAGCGGCCGAUGUCAGAUUAGGUAGUUGGUGGGGUAAAGGCCUACCAAGCCGACGAUCUGUAGCUGGUCUGAGAGGACGACCAGCAAAACUGGGACUGAGACACGGCCCAGACUCCUACGGGAGGCAGCAGUGGGGAAUAUUGGACAAUGGGCGCAAGCCUGGUCCAGCCAUGCCGCGUGUGUGAAGAAGGCCUUCGGGUUGUAAAGCACUUUCAGUAGGGAGGAAGCGUUGUGUGUUAAUAGUACACAGCGUUGACGUUACCUACAGAAGAAGCACCGGCUGACUCUGUGCCAGCCGCCGCCGUAACAC
rnacentral:rRNA from 1 species